rnacentral:rRNA from 1 species
GGUCAAGUUAUUAAGGGUGCAGGGCGGAUGCCUUGGCACUAGGAGCCGAUGAAGGACGUGAUAAGCUGCGAUAAGCUUCGGGGAGUUGCACGUAAACUUUGAUCCGAAGAUUUCCGAAUGAGGAAACUCACUUAGAGUAAUGUCUAAGUAUCAUUAAGUGAAUACAUAGCUUAAUGAGGGGAACUCAGGGAACUGAAACAUCUAAGUACCUGAAGGAAGAGAAAGAAAUUCGAUUCCGUAAGUAGCGGCGAGCGAACGCGGAUUAGCCCAAACCAAUAAAGUUUUCUUUAUUGGGGUUGCGGACAUAUCAUAACGAAGAGGUAUCGUAAUUGAAGAGGUUUGGAAAGACCCACCACAGAAGGUAAUAGUCCUGUAUGUUAAACGAGAAGACUUCAGAUAUGAUCCAGAGUACCACGGGACACGUGAAACCCUGUGGGAAGCAGGAGGGACCACCCUCCAAGGCUAAAUACUACCUAGUGACCGAUAGCGUAUAGUACCGUGAGGGAAAGGUGAAAAGAACCCCGGGAGGGGAGUGAAAUAGAACCUGAAACCCUGCACUUACAAGCUGUGGAAGCACAUUUCUUGUGUGACCGCGUACUUUUUGUAGAACGGGCCAACGAGUUACGUUAAGUAGCAAGGUUAAGCACUUAAGGUGUGGAGCCGUAGCGAAAGCGAGUUUUAACUGAGCGUUCAGUUACUUGACGUAGACCCGAAACCGGGCGACCUACCCAUGAGCAGGAUGAAGCGAAAGUAAAAUUUCGUGGAGGUCCGAACCCACGAGCGUUGAAAAGCUCGGGGAUGACUUGUGGGUAGCGGUGAAAUUCCAAUCGAGCCCGGAGAUAGCUGGUUCUCCCCGAAAUAGCUUUAGGGCUAGCCUCAAGGUGAGAGAUACGGAGGUAGAGCACUGAAUGUCCUAGGGGGUAUUGCACCUACCGAAGACUAUCAAACUCCGAAUGCCGUCAUCUUAUACUUGGGAGUCAGACUGUGGGUGAUAAGAUUCAUAGUCGAAAGGGCAACAGCCCAGAUCGUCAGCUAAGGUCCCUAAAUGUAAGUUAAGUGGUAAAGGAUGUGGGAUUGCACAGACAACCAGGAUGUUGGCUUAGAAGCAGCCACUCAUUCAAAGAGUGCGUAAUAGCUCACUGGUCGAGUGAUCCUGCGCCGAAGAUUUCCGGGGCUAAAACUUACUACCGAAGCUACGGCAUCAGUAAUGA